AUGAAACCCUAAAACCUGCCCUCUUCUUCUCAUUUCGACCAAAAGAAAUCAACAUGGUCACUCAACAAAGCUCCUUGUCGCUCCUUUACCUCAGAUAUGUGGUGAUUUUCCUAAUCGCUCUUCGCCUUCAUCCGAAAAACUUGAGAGAUCGUUUAAAGAAAACUAGCAUCAUUUGGAAAAGUUUGAAUAUAUACCAGAGCGGAUUCAAGAUGUGGAAGCAAACGUAGAUUUAGUCACAUUGAUCAUAUAGGCCAGCCUUCUUCUUGUUCAUCAGUCUCGCCACGUCGAUGGUAUUAAAAAAAUUAUAAUUUAUAUGACUAUCUCUUCAUUUUAUGCAUUUUUAAAUGUUUGAUGCAAUUUUAGGUUUAAAUUACCUUCAUUGUUUAUGAAUUUCAAUUUCGAUAUAUUACAUAUAGUAUAAACUCGGUGUGCAUUUAAAUUGGUCAGGCAUUCUGGAGUGGUGCUUUAGAUUGGGUUUUGAAAUGUUUGUGCUUGAUUUUGUUGGCUUUUAGAUUAUUUGUGCCUAGUAUAAGUAAUAAAUAGCGAACUUUGUUUAUUGGCUAUCUUUAUGCCUAUUGAUUACAAUUUUAUAAUAGAUUGUAGUCUAUUAAUCAACCACUCAUGCAUGCCAAAUUGCUUUUCAAGGAUCAUAAGUCUGGGAGAAAAUGAGGAUCGGAUCGUUCCUUUUGCUAGAAAGGAUGUUUCAGCAGGGAAUGAGUUAACCUUUGAUUAUAGAUUUGAACCUCAUCAGAAUGAUGAGGCUAAAGUCCCUUGUCAGUGUGGAGCUCCCAACUGUAGCAAAUUCAUGAAUUAGAAUAGCAUAGGUAGAUAGAUUAUUGACUAUUCCUCAUCCUAACUGUUAGAGGAUUGUGGGGAUAUUUUGUUCUUCUCCCACCCUCCAAUUUACUUUUAAUUUGAUUCUUUUGUUUAUGCUUAACAUGCAAAUAUCUAUAUAACUUCAUUAACAUGUAAGAAUAGUGAAAGUUUUUCGUCUUCUUUAAUCUGAUGAAGAUAUUAUAAUGUAGCAUGUUAAUUAUUGUGUUUUUCAUCGUUUCCUCGUGCUAACAUGUUCCACACAUAGAUAUAUAUCUCAAAAACAAUAUUGUACAAACAGAUUUAACUUCUUGCAAGAACAUUGGAGGUCAUAAAUGUUUUAUGUCCUCAUAUAAACUACGAUAUACAGUGGUACAAUAGCAAAUUGACGAAAAUAUUUUACAUAGAGAUGAUGAGAUUAUAUUGACGAUGAUUCAUGGACAUAGAAGGAGCAACACCUCUAGUACUUGUAUCAUCCAUUGACGUAAUGAAUCCUAAGCAACCUAGUACCCCUAAUUUCUUGUAUGGAAAAAAUGUUUUCCUCUUCAUCUCUUCGGAAAAUGGCCUAUUCAACGUGUAAUGCAACUCAUGAGCCUAAAUCUCCCUCCUCCUUCUCAUAAAGGAGGUUGAUACUGAUGAUGAUGCAACACUGCUAGAAGUUGAUUUGAAGCUUGAAGUCUUCGCAUCCUCCUCCUGCUCGCGCGUUUCUUCAAAAACUUGUUUAAUUGAUCUUUACUGCUCGCUCUACCCUCAGAACCACUUCUGAAUAGGAAUAAAUCUUCCAGUUUCCAUUUUAUGUACCAGAGUGAUAUCGAUGAUGAAACAGAACACAAAGAGUAUGGGCUAGUCUUUGUGGACCCCUGAUUGCUUUCGUGAUCAAAUACCAGAUCAGGAACAAUUACAUUGUUUUACAAUCUUGAAGCCUAGUUCUUCUUUCAUUUUUCUCUAUUUCCAUUUUUCGCUGAUUAUACAAUUACAAUGUUUUUACAUACAAAUAAACUAACUUAAAAUGAGUUUUGAUGCUACUGCUUUCAUGAACAAGAUUUGUGACUGCAUCAGCUGCCCAUUGAAUGACACCAUUGACUGCUCGAGAGUUCUAAGCAUCUUUUUCCCUCUUCAGCAGAUUUGCAAGAUGAGGCAAAGCUCCAACAUCAACAAUCAGUUGUUGGUGCUCCAGCUGUAAGACAUAAAAUUUAAAAUAUAAAGAAAAAGAGUAAAUAUCUACUACUCUGAUAGAUGCAAGAAUUAAGAACUAUCUAUGGUAUUUAUAUUUCACAUUUACAUUUCCUCUAUUAUUUAUAUUUCUGAUUCACAACAGUUUUCUCUGUCUUGAAUAGAUCAAUGAUUUGCAUAGAUCACCUGACUAGUCUGUUGAUCAAUUAAAUCUCUGCUCUUUCUUAGUUUUAGGAAGGAGAAGAUUUUGUAUGGCUCAACCAAUGGAGGUAUGAAUUCUUAAAACUUUACUAGUAUUUUCUUAGAUAAAAAUAUUCAUCAUGUGUAAUAUAGGUGGAUCAGAAACUAAUUUACCUUUCUCUAUGCCCUGUGUAUUUAUUAUCUUUAGGAAUUUUACCUUGUUAUCUAUAGUUUAGGCAUCUACUUACUCAAUUUGAUAAUAAUUUUUUAUUGCCUCAGGUUGACCUGGAACCAUCAGAUGGACCUUUGUUGGAAAUGAACGGUUUAGAUGAAUUCAAAUCUUUCUUACGUCACAUUCUAGAUCAUAAAUUCUAGUAAUAUUUCAGAUUGUAUUGAUGUGCUUUAUUUCUUUUUGCAUCUAACACUGGUUUCCAUAUGCUGUAAUUAAUAUUUUGUUUUUUGGGCUAUGAACUUGUUGCUAUUGGGGUAAUAAAUAGUGAACUUUCUUUAUUAUAUAUCUUUAUGCCAUUUGAUUAUAGUUUCCAAAUAGAUUGUAGUCUAUUAUGGUAUGAUAAACUUCUAGGAGAUUGGUUUUUCAUUGGAAUUUCAUUUUCUACUAGCUCAUAACAAAGGUAUGGAUGAUAUAAUGUCCAUUUUCAUACAGUUAUAUCGUGGUUUUACUUUUGUAGUUCUGUAUUUUUCAUAUGUAUAAUAAAACUACUUCUUUUGGUUCUAAUUUUGCAGCUAAAUAUAACAGCUAGUAUUGUAAGCAACUUCCCAAAUCCUAGAGACAGAAAUAAUGUUGUUUCAUCUCAAAAUCAUACGGAUUCUUCAAUCAAAAUUCAGAAUGAUACAGAGCAAUUGAAGAUAUAUCUUUCUUUCUAUUUUCCAUUGGAAAGAGUUUGUAUGCACAGUAAGUGACAUUGUUUGAUGUUUGAGAUUAUGCACAUUUUUCAUGUGAUAGUCAUCCUUGUUCUGAUCAGAUUUGGGUCCCUUCAAACCCAAAUCUGUAGCUUAAUGCUUGCUUUAGAAUUGAAUAUGCAAUACAAUUUCCUGUUUCUACCAUGUUGAGUACCAACUCUUGUAGACCAACAAUUCCUUAUAUACUUCGACUAAUUCCAAGGAAUACUAUCAUUUGCUACCAGUAACAUAUACCAUGUAACUCUUCUUACCAAUGAUAGAACAGAUGAGAAAGAAAUUAUCCAGUGUUUUUAUCUCUGUUGAUAUUUGAACUUGAGACCUCAUGAUUCUUGAUCCACUUCAUUGAUCACUUUGAUCACACUCUUGGGUACCAUUGUAUGUUAAUUUUUUUCACACAAUAAAUAAAGUAUGUAAGGCCCAAUCAUAUAAUUAAAGCAUAAUUCAAACUCUGGUUGAAUUUUAAACUCUUUGUCCACUUGGACUAUAAUUUUAUGGGACAACAGCUCUUGCAAAGUUUAGAUGUUGGACUAUAACCUUCCAAAUGACUUGUUCUAAAGUUCUAUUAAUGAAGUAUUUGGGCUUUAGCCUGAGAAAACAAGAGUUGGGUCAUCACAUUUAUUAAAGCAUACAUUCAAGGCAGAAUACAAAAUCCCUUCCUUAAAAUCGUCAAGUAAGUUUCAUUUAGACAUUUGAAUUGUGUCAUUGAAAAUAACUAAAAUGUUGGACAAUUCUUGAUGAUGCAGUAAGUUUAAUUGGACAAAUUUGCAAAAUGAGACUAUGCAUAUGCGAUAUGUUGUGUAAGGUGUUACUAAUACAAAUGAUUAUUUUGUGGCAGGGAUGAGCUUAGUUACUGUAAUGGUGAACUAAAUUCAAACAUUUGAACCAAUUACUGAUGAAAAUGCAGACAUCAAUAGCUUACUCAUACUGAUUAUUUAUAGAGAUAUACACUUCCACUGAGUGCAGUCACUAGAGAAUCCUUUUUUGAUAACCGAGAAAUCUCCAAGGGCUAGUGACACACGGGAUCUCGGUAGAUAAUAAGCCAACUCCUCUACCCUCCUCCACUUAAAUACCGUGCUUUUGUUCUGUGGCAGUGUUUGAACCCGUGACGUGCGACUAACCUACACAUCAGACGUUGUAGUCUAACCACUAUGCCAAAGCGCUUGGGGCUGCAUAAAUAGAGGUUUUUUUAUGCUAUUUUUUAUCUUUUUAUGUUACUUAGAGUGCAGGAGGCACUCCAAAAACCUGAAAUGGCUUGCUAGAAGUUCUGAAGGUCGUCCAUGAAGCCGGCCUGAUAUUUGAAAAUAGGUUUUGACCUCAGGUUCUUUUUUCUGCUGUCAUAUAUUUUAGCCAUAAUAUGGACUAGCUUUCUGAUGAGUAUCGCAUUUUGUUAAGAAAAUGAAUGUUCUGUGGAACUGAGUUAAAAAAAAAUAUGUCUGGUUUACCUCUAUUUAAUCUACAUCUACUGGUUUAGGAGUUUUAGUAGGUCUACGAAAAGUUUCUUGUUGGUCUGUUAUCCUCUGGUUCCAUCUUUUUGUUCACUCUCCAUUAUAGUAUACACUGCACGUUGUGCAUAGCAUUGCUCUUAAAUAGUUCUCACUUCUCAUUGUUGCUUACUGCCACUCAUGUGCAGGGUGUUGCCAUUACACAAUAGAACUCAUUUCUUGACAACACUUUUAGAAUUGAGUGUUGAUUAGCCAGAUUCCCUAUUUUUGAUUGGGUGGGCGGAAGAACCUCUAAAAUGUCUGCCUUUGGUUUACUUGCAGCUGCACUUCACCUUUGACACUCCUAAUAGAAGUUCAAUUAUGAAUAAGAUCUCCUUUCAUUCACUAAUUCAGAUUGUUGAUAGAAUUUCAUUUGUGAAUAAGAUUUCCUGGUGUUUAUGUUUAUACUAUUUUUUUCCAUUCACAGGUAAAUCAAGGGAUCAGUGUUUAUGGAAACAAAUGGAGCACAGAUCAACAUGCCUAUAUUCAACAACUACGAGAAGGAAAACGCCGGUAAUUGAAUUUGAAUAGUGGCCAGAAGUAAACUCUAUCUAUUGUAUUGAACGAUGAAGAGUGUUUGUACUAUUGUCAUAUUUAUUUGAAUGCAUUAGAUUUUGUGGAAUUUAUUGAUAGUAG